UCAUCAAUUUUAUACGUCAUUGGAAACCAAAUUACAACACUAACUAUGCCUGCACAAGGUUUCCAAGAAGGCGGAUUCACAAGAAGAAAUGGAACCAAGCACAUCCUAUAGACUUUUCUCAGCACAACCAACAAGCACCCAAUGGAAUUUAACUGUCCUUGCUGGAAGGCACAGCAAUUCGUUGCAGCAAAUUUCCAAGAAACCAGACGACCCCAAUUCACAAGAAGAAAUGGAAACAAGCACAUCCUAUAGACUUUUCUCAGCACGACCAACAAGCACCCAAUGGAAUUUAACUGUCCUUGCUGGAAGGCACAGCAGUUCGUUGCAGCAAAUUUCCAAGAAACCAGACGACCCCAAUUCACAAGAAGAAAUGGAAACAAGCACAUCCUAUAGACUUUCCUCAGCACGACCAACAAGCACCCAAUGGAAUUUAACUGUCCUUGCUGGAAGGCACAGCAGUUCGUUGCAGCAAAUUUCCAAGAAACCAGACAACCCCAAUUCAUUAUAAAAAGAUCCUACUUCUUUCAAGUAAUGAUACCGGCUUUUUCAUCGUUAUGUGAAUACCACCUUCCAUGCUAGUAGAUUUUUCUCCGCCGAUUGAUAAUUCUCCUAUUUCGACCUAACUUUCCAGAGAUUAAUUUACCCACAUGACAGAGAUUAUAAAGGAGAGAGAAGAGAGCAACUAUUAC
rnacentral:lncRNA from 1 species